rnacentral:rRNA from 1 species
GGCCCAAGUGGGAUUAGCUAGUUAGGUGAGGUAAUGGCUCACCAAGGCGACGAUCCCUAGCUGGUUUGAGAGGAUGAUCAGCCACACUGGGACUGAGACACGGCCCAGACUCCUACGGGAGGCAGCAGUGGGGAAUAUUGCACAAUGGGCGCAAGCCUGAUGCAGCCAUGGACCGCGUGUGUGAAGAAGGCCUUCGGGUUGUAAAGCACUUUCAGUCAGGAGGAAAGGUUUAACGGUUAAUACCCGUUAGCUGUGACGUUACUGACAGAAGAAGCACCGGCUAACUCCGUGCCAGCAGCCGCGGUAA